GAUCAGAUCAAGCGCGAAAAGGGCGUUUGGUGGAUGCCUAGGCAGCAAGAGGCGAUGAAGGACGUGAUACCCUGCGUUAAGCCAUGGGGAGCCGGGAAUGGGCUUCGAUCCAUGGAUGUCCGAAUGGGGAAACCCACCUGAUUGUUCGUUGUUGUCCUACCGCUUCGCUACUUGAGGACUUGUCCGACAGUAGCAAGCGCGGGAUCAUCAAUGGGCAAAGACAGGUAUCAUUACCCUGAAUACAUAGGGGUUUUGAAGCGAACCCGGGGAACUGAAACAUCUAAGUACCCGGAGGAAAGGAAAUCAACAGAGACUCCGCUAGUAGUGGCGAGCGAACGCGGACCAGCCGAUCUCCGAAGAGUGACUGGAAUGGCCUGGAAAGGCCAGCCACAGCGGGUGACAGCCCCGUACAGGAAGCUCCAGGAGACAUAUCAAGUAGGGCGGGACACGUGAAAUCCUGUCUGAAGAUCGGGGGACCACCCCCGAAGGCUAAGUACUCCUUGCUGACCGAUAGCGAACCAGUAC
rnacentral:rRNA from 1 species